UCGUCACCGCAGGACAGCUCAGAGAUAAGGAAACUGCCGCGCUAAGGCAGGAACACGAAGGCAGGAGGCGACAGAGCAUCUAGGAGAUGCUGUGACUUGGAGGUUGUUGUUUCUAAUUAUUUAUGGAUAAACCGAAUCCCAGAAAAUUGUUCCGGAUCAUGAAGGUUUUAGUUUUCGAGCUGGAUUUCAGAUCUAGGCGUGUUUAACUUUUCGGGGGACUGGAAUGCAUCCAGGACAUCCACAUCUCUUUCCACUCUGCUGUGUUUUCCAGCCUAGCCCCCCAA